AGCGAACGCUGGCGGCAGGCCUAACACAUGCAAGUCGAACGAACCUUUCGGGGUUAGUGGCGGACGGGUGAGUAGCACGUGGGAACGUGCCUUUAGGUUCGGAAUAACUCAGGGAAACUUGUGCUAAUACCGAAUGUGCCCUUCGGGGGAAAGAUUAAUCGCCUUUAGAGCGGCCCGCGUCUGAUUAGCUAGUUGGUUGAGGUAAUGGCUCACCAAGGCGACGAUCAGUAGCUGGUCUGAGAGGAUGAUCAGCCACAUUGGGACUGAGACACGGCCCAAACUCCUACGGGAGGCAGCAGUGGGGAAUCUUGCGCAAUGGGCGAAAGCCUGACGCAGCCAUGCCGCGUGAAUGAUGAAGGUCUUAGGAUUGUAAAAUUCUUUCACCGGGGACGAUAAUGACGGUACCCGGAGAAGAAGCCCCGGCUAACUUCGUG
rnacentral:rRNA from 1 species